UUCGACUGUGAACUGGAACCGAGCGGACACGUGCGCGGCAUAUCGUUGGCGGAGACUUGACCACAGCAAGUAAGGCUUUAGAUUCCUGUUCUGUGUGUGUUCCCCACCGUUAACUGCAAUCGGAGCCUGAGGGGUGUGCAAUUGCCUUUCGAGCGUAGUGUCGGUCGAUGGAGGGCCAUUAAGGUUAAUUUUAUGCACAUUCCGGACUGGUCUGGUGACGGGUGGUGAUUUCCGUGCUGAAAAGGUGUGCAAUUUCGAUUCGAACGGGAUUCACUUCGGGGAUACUUCCGGGAUCCAUCUGUGCGAGCGAAAUGGGGUGCUUGAUCCGAGGGGAACCUACGUGCUUGCUGGCCAUUUCCUAGUGGUGCUAAUGAUUGGGGUGAGAGAGGGCAGUGAAUCCGAAACGAAUUUAGUGCUUCCAGCCAGAAGCUGGCCCCUCGUUGUUGGGUGGAAAGUGUAUUGUUAAUUGUACAUUACACGGCAUCGUUCUGCAAUGACUGGUCCCUCGAGGGAGGGAUGAGCUGCUGGCAUCACCGUGGAAGGUGUGGUGCGAAGUUGAUACGGCGACAGCAGUGAAGUGAACUACCAGCAGUGCCAGCCAGUUGUCUGCUUCCGUGUCGUGUUUCUUUCUGGAGAGUGGGUGGUUACUCGGUUGGUUGGGUCGUAGCGGAGUAAUCCUUACAUCGCCACUGCUGGCGUUUUUUGCCUAUUUCUGUUGUGGAAACCAAAACCCGCUGCAGUGAACGUGAAAUGAUUUAUUAAUUGCAUAAAACCGACGACGUACCGAAGAGCAUAAAUCAAGUUGAAUCGUGAAAAGGGGAAAGCUUUCUUACAUUACGCGGGAUAGCUUUGGUGAAACAAGAAACGCCGAGUCAUGAAAAGUGUUCAACAACAAAGUACAAAGGAUAAAAACAUGUUAUUAGAGAAGUUUCAAGUGGUGUGAUAUGCAAAUUGAGUCCUUGAUAACAAGGCAAACGAAUCCCCUUAUGUGUUGAUGUUGCGAAUAAACAAAUGAAAACAUUGCAGUGAUAUACUCUGGCCAGAGAGCUAUGUGCAAGACAGGAAUUACUCACGCUAUGGGAUUUGAGAAGCGUUUUGAAUGCAAUAGAUGCGUCGUCGUCCUUCGGUGCUACCACCAACGUUGAUGGAAAGAGACAUAAACCGUACCUGGAACCCGUAUAGAGCACUUACUACGAACGGAAUAAAAUCUCCCCCGGUUAUCUCCGCUAGUGACAAAUAGAAAACACACCGAACGACCCAAUCUCCGGAAGACAACUUCAGACCGGCACUGGAGGCCAUCGAGAGUAUGUGAGCUAAAAGGAAAACUCUAGAGAACACAGUGAAUGAAGAAAAAAUAGAACACGAAGCAAAAAAGUGAAAUGUGCAAGAAUACAUAAACAGCCCACAAAAAGUACGACUGUGAAUAACUCAACAGGGAACGGGGCAAGCAAAAAGUGAAUAAGGCUUCCACAUAGAAGUAACGAUAUCUCCGGUUUUGUUCCAUACCAGCUCUUUUGGUGCCAAUGGGAAAGCUCAUUUGAAUUAUGAAUUUUGCUCGUGACCGUUCGAUGCCACACAUGGAUUCGGCAAUAUGACAAUGACGUCGACGCGGUGAAGCCGAUCGAACGAAGCGGAACCAAUUAGCUUCGACAGUGUUUUAUGUUGUUUAUGCUCUCGAGGAUAUUCGUAAUUAGUUUGAAAACUGUUCCAAUGGAAAUGAAAAACUGUUUUCCACGCAGCAUCGGGUACGUGAGUGAAAUCAUUCCACAAUGCCGUAAAGAAAAUGUAUAAAUUAAAACAGCUCAGUGCAGAAACUACGUAAGCAGCGCCAGACCCGAUGGGUUUCCGAGAAGCGAAACCACUAUUGAAACAAUCGCUGAUGCGCACAAAAUGGUGACUACCAGAACGGAACUGCAGCAACGGUGCAUCGUCAGCAGUAAAACUCACUUCUAACUGGGACCGAGUGCAGUGCUACUUCACUACUAUGAACACGAAGCUGAGACUAAUUGCAUCGUUGAUUAACUUCUUCGUCAUCGCAGUGGCAGACACCCUCAGUCCCGACCUCCAGAUGUACUGGGAGAACAGCAUGGUGCAUCCGUACUUCGACAAUACAACCAAACGCGACGUGACUGCAAUCGCAGGACAGACUUGCCAGCUGCACUGUCGAGUCAAAAGUCUGGGAGACCGAGCGGUAUCCUGGAUACGGAAACGAGAUCUACAUAUCCUAACCGUUGGCAUACUGACGUACACCAACGACCAGCGCUUCCAGUCGCUCCAUACCGAAGGCAGUGACGAGUGGACGUUACGGAUAACGUCUCCCCAGGCACGGGACUCCGGCGUCUACGAGUGCCAAGUAUCGACUGAGCCGAAAAUUAGUCAAGCCUUUCGCUUAAACGUAGUUGUAUCGAAAGCGAAGAUUCUAGGGAAUGCGGAAUUGUUCGUAAAGAGUGGUAGUGACAUUAAUUUGACCUGCGUUGCCCUGCAGUCGCCCCAGCCGCCUUCCUUCAUCUACUGGUAUAAGGGCGGCCGAGUCAUCAAUUAUUCGCAACGGGGCGGCAUAAGCGUGCUGACCGAGCAGCAAACUCGAACGAGCCGGUUGGUCAUUGCCCGUGCCUCCCCAUCGGACUCCGGGAACUACACUUGCUCACCCAGUAAUUCCGAUUCUGCUAGUGUCGUUGUGCACGUUAUCAAAGGAGAGCAUCCAGCUGCGAUGCAACAUGGAGUGAAUCGAUGCACUAUUGUGCACAAAUCAGAACAGAUCAUCGGAGUGCUCGUUAUAUCGCUCUGCAUUCAUCUGCUGGUCAGCGUGUUCCCCAACAGAUAAGGCCAAUCAUAAGAGGAUGCGAAACACGAAGCCGCUUCAGUUGACUGUUUUUUUCUCGCUUAGUAUAAAUAUGUACCAUAAACAGAAAACCAUCUCCGUAGAGGCAUCGUCUAGAACCAGGAAAGGGCAGGACACCAAACAUCCAACUAGCAGCGACACACAUCACCGACGACGACAGCCGCGCCACCACUAUCCCAGGCACUAUAACAACAGCAGCAUUUGAUAUUCCGAACCGUCACACCGAGCAAGUAGCACUCACCAAUCCUACCGUAUGACAAGAUACACCCACAUGCAUAAUAACAUUCGCCAAUUUUACGUACGACAACGAGGAAGCUCAUCACUCUUAUGCGAUGUGACGACGAAGAGGACAUCGUCGUUCUCGGAACUAGGUAGAACGUGAAUAGCAGCGCGUGCAGAAGACCAUGACGAGCACUUUGCGAUGAUAAUCCUCCCAAAAGAUAACCUUGAGAAAUUCCUCGCGUCCACGUCGGCCAUCGAAACUUCCCAAGCACGUGGAAAACUUCACCGGCGGGGACCAUCACAGCAUCGGUCGGCACUGCAGAAAGCUGGCUUGCUGCGACAAAGCAUACAAAGCUUGGCCGCGAGUACAGCUUUGUUUUCCCAACUCGAAAAUAGCUCAACAGCUCUGCCAUCGCCCAUAUCGCAUCAGUGACAGCCCUCGGCAAAUGAGUACGAGUUCCACACGUCCCGGCUCCAGGAAAAGUCAUGGCCAAACACUUCGCUACGAGAAGGAACGGCAAGUCUAGCGUAGGUAAAGCAUGAUAUAAGGGUAGGCGAUAUUUAGAAUGGUUCGCUUUUCGAUACAAAAACGGAAGGAAAAUUAUUAUUAAGAGUGCUCUUUCUCUUCCGUUAAUUACAAAACGGUUAUCAUGCACUCUUUGGAUCCAAGCCAAAAUCACUGUUUUUUAGUUCGUUUUAUGAAAUAAAGUAAAAUUCAGUCUACGCAUUUUGAAUCAAUAAGGAGUCUUAGUUUUCAUUCUUCUUUUAUUUCUAUUUACCUAUUUAUAUUGGCACGAAAACAUUCGUAUCGCAUUCCCCAAACACUGCAACAUACAUCAAGAAAAAGCAUUUUAUAAUGAUGGAUGGUGACAAGUACCUCCGCCGCCGCCGGUGGGGAAGACAACCCAAAGACUCCUACUACACUAGCGCGCGCUCCGGAAGUGCUCGCUAUGCUUGUGCAAUGCACAUUACUCUCUCUCUAUAUAGGUAUACAAAGGACUCGCGGAAAAGUUCAGUUUCUUGCGCUAGGUUGUGCGAGUGAGCGGUACUAGGAGGAAACAGGAAGGCCAAAGAACCGAUACAUCAAAGUGGAAAACUUUUCCUCUGACGGGCCCGGGCUAUGGGUGUCGGUUUCAUGAAGGUUGUGUGCGGUUCACUCGCCGUCGGAAGCAAUGACGUGUGAUACUUGGUCCACGGACGGACGAGCGGCCACAGAGCAAAACUUGCAGCACGGAUGGAGAGGGCAGUAUAUUUACGUCAAAAUUUGCUACUGUCAUGCCAAGGACAAUCAACUUCCAUCACAGUUUGGGUUUUUUCGUUUCAGAUUUCUAUCGCAAAUUAAGAGGAAAUAUUUCCUUUUCGUAAAAAAAGGACCUGCUGACAGAGCGGUUUUUGUCAUGUGAUCGUUAUUUUUGUUCUUUGGAGGACAAACCAACUCUUACCGAAGUUUCAACUAGAUUCACAAAUGCCCUUAAUGCCAUAUGGGAUGUAUUUUCAUGUUGUUAAAUGCAUGGUUUUGUCCUGACAAUGAUCCGAACAAAGGAUUGAAGUGCAAUUUGUUCUGCUUUGCAUUCUUUGAUUCAUCUUUUGUUUUCCGGAACACAUUUGGUAACAAGAUAACCAUUUUUUAUUUUAUACCAUAAUCCUUUGUUCAUGACUAGAUAUGGCUUUAGAAUAGAAAGAUAACCGAGGUUUACUUUAUUAUAUGAUUUACUUUACUUUAUUAUAUGAUGUAACAAUAAUCUCGAAUUCACUGUAAAUGUUUCGAAAAAUUCGGCUCCACGGAAAAUCUUUUUUUUUUGCCUUCCUUAGCUAUUACUAAGUAUACGUAAAGGCUAUAUGUCUGUAGCUAUAUGCAUGUUCGUUCCAAAAAUAUUUGUUUUCGACGAAUUGAGGUGAUGUGUAUGUGCGCAAAAAGUGUCAUUUUUUGGCACUUUUGCUUAACUGAUUUGCUUGCAACAAGUUGCAUUCGAUGCAGAAUUAUUUCGUAUUGUUUCCUAUUGAAAAUUGACCGGUUCGGACUAUGGGCUUCCUCGAUUUUAUUACAUUUUUUAUAUGAUUUCGUCACGUUGCGUUUUUGAAUGGAUUUUCAUAUUAAAAAAGAAUUUAAAAUAAACCUUGAUUAAUCCAUCCAAUGGCGUCAACUUGAAAACUUAAGUUAAUUUUUUUCUUAGCGCGUUUUUACUAUAAAAAUAGAUUUUUUGCUAUAAUUUCUGAUCUCAUAGUCCGAUCUGACAUAUUUACAAUAGGAAACAAUGGGACAGAAUUCUACGUCGAAUGGAACCUGUUACAAGUAAAUUGGUUAAGGAUAAGUGCGUAAUUUUGAGUGAGUGAGUUUUUUACGCAAAUACAUACAUACACACGCACACACAUACAUCAUCUCAAUUCAUCAAGCUAAGUCGAUUAGUGUAUAACACUAUGGGCUCCCAGGCCUUCCAUAAAAAGUUUGUUUUGAAGCUUCUUCAGGAAUCUCUACGACAAAUUCUUCUGGAAAUCUUCUGGAUCUUGCGGAUGUUAUUCCAAGAUUUCUUCUGAUGAAAUAAUUAAUAUUGAGCGUCUUAGGGGAAAAGAUUAUAGUGGAAGUAAAUGGAAGUUUGAAAUUUUUUAACUUUGUAGGAAUUUCUGGUUCGAAUAACUGGAGGGUUUUUCGAAUAAAUUCUUAAAUGAUUUAGAUAUUUCCGAAGUUGUGCUACGAAUAUGGCCAGCUGUCUACAAGCACAAGUGAAGCUUAUAGUGUCAAACAACAUCAAUCAAAUCUCGCUUAACUUUUCAAAAGGACCUAAGUAACAUUUUUUUCAUGAAUUUGAAUAGCGCAAUCAACAGAACAACAUGAAAGCUGUUGAUUACAUUACUCAAAUUAAUUCAUGAAAAAAUGUUACUUAGGUCCUUUUGAAAAGUUAAGCGAGAAAUCCAUUCUAAGUAACGUGUGGAGACACUUUGCAGAUCAAUGUCAUCAGAAACAGUGGCAUUACCGUAAUAGGAAAAAAAAGACACACACAUUCUACACAAGGAUAAAAAUUUCUCCAAAUGGAAGCCUCAUGAUUAGGAUGUUUUGCUCUAGACCAGAGUUCUAACUGAGAGUUUUCAAUGUUUCAAUAUCUACUCAUCUAAUAAAUUUGCUAAAUUUUUCUAAACUGUUUAUUCUUUGUCAGUAGUGUCAGUAUAUACCAAUUAUCUGUCAUAAAUAAUCAAUCAUCUGGAGAGAAUGUCGAUUUUUAUGCAGUUGGUAUUUGAUUUCAUCUAAUCACGAUUUGAAUUAAAUUUUACUGCAAAUUUCUUUGUGAUUUUCAACUUCCAGUGAAUGUGUUUCUUAAGUUUGAUGAAAAAACCAAGCUGAUGCCCUAAGAUCCCUCGGAGAUGUAGGAUGUAUGCCAAAUAUCCAGGAGCUCUUUAUUGUGGGCAGAGGGUUGUGGAGAAGAAAUCUGUUGUUAUAGAUUAUCAUCGUCAGAAAAAGCCUCGUUUACAACAUCUUCCCAGAACCAUUUGAAAGAUGAUUCAAUCUUACACAGAGGCCAAAUUACGGUGGAAAAAAUAUUCCAACCUCAUCGUAUUUCUCGGAAAGGAAGAGUAUGGCAACUAAAAUCAAUAUUUUUUGUUAUUUUCCCAUCGCCCCAUCAACGAGUUUCUUUCGAACGGAGAUGCUUUCGGGUUGUUUAGCCUUCCUGUUUCAAAAGAUAGAAAAGACGAUGCAUUUUGAUGAUGAAGUAGAGUUCGCAAAAAUGCUUCCCAAUAAUAAACCUGACCCAAUUCAAAUCAGAUAUAGUGAGCGAAGCCAUAGAAAGCCAAACCAAGAAGAAGAGAAGCAACAUUCGCACGGAAGAUCGUAAUUUUAUGGCAAACUGUAUAAAUAUGUAAAAUAAAGGUACUCCGAGUAAUACAUUUUAAUGCAUCAUUAGUCUAAUUAAAAGUUUAUUAAGAAAAAGAGUAAAACGAAACAUUUUAGUCCCAAUUUAUGAAGUGCUAAAAUUUGUUGAUAUUAAACGCAGCAGAUGGGAGGGAUUAUCCGGAGAUAGUGAAAUGUAUAAAAUUAGCACGCUGAAGAUUUGUCAGAAGAGUCUCAGUUAUUGUAUAAGCAGAAAAAGAAACUUGAAUGAAUGAGAAUAAAACGAAAGCGAAAAUGAGAUAGCAAAAAUGUUUAUUUAUGAA